rnacentral:misc_RNA from 1 species
GGGWGAAGUCGUAACAAGGUAACCGUAGGGGAACCUGCGGUUGGAUCACCUCCUUUCUAAGGAAAAACGCUGUUGUCUUAGUAUCUGUUUCGCACACAACAUCACAGGCUGUGGGAGGAGUCUUCGGACUCUGAACCUAGGGGCUAGUAGCUCAGUUGGUUAGAGCACACGCUUGAUAAGCGUGGGGUCGGAGGUUCAAGUCCUCCCUGGCCCACCAUUACAAAGUUUAGGUGUGGUUACUGAAAGCUUUCGAGUUUCUGGUAGCGACAUGNAAGUGUGUUAAGGGGUUUUGAGAUCUGAGCAGGCAGAUUCGAUGGNNGCAACGUAAUANACAUUAAGUACAUGAGGCGCCGACAGAUGAAGCUAACGAACUUAGAACGCAAAAGAACUAACACAAUUUGGGGGUGUAGCUCACCUUGGGAGAGCGCCUGCCUUGCACGCAGGAGGGCAUCGNGUUCGAUCCCGUUCACCUCCACCAA